GACGAACGCUGGCGGCGUGCUUAACACAUGCAAGUCGAACGGAAAGGCCCUGCUUUUGUGGGGUGCUCGAGUGGCGAACGGGUGAGUAACACGUGAGUAACCUGCCCUUGACUUUGGGAUAACUUCAGGAAACUGGGGCUAAUACCGGAUAGGAGCUCCUGCUGCAUGGUGGGGGUUGGAAAGUUUCGGCGGUUGGGGAUGGACUCGCGGCUUAUCAGCUUGUUGGUGGGGUAGUGGCUUACCAAGGCUUUGACGGGUAGCCGGCCUGAGAGGGUGACCGGCCACAUUGGGACGGAGAUACGGCCCAGACUCCUUCGGGAGGCAGCAGUGGGGAAUAUGGCACAAUGGGCGGAAGCCUGAGGCAGCAACGCCGCGUGCGGGAUGACGGCCUUCGGGUGGUAAACCGCUUUCGCCUGUGACGAAGCGUGAGUGACGGUAAUGGGUAAAGAAGCACCGGCUAACUACGU
rnacentral:rRNA from 1 species